ACACAGGAAAUUAACACAUGAAUGUGGCUUUGGCUGAAGAGGUAGAGAAGGAGCCUGAUUUCCAUCCCUCCCUUUAACAGACAUUUCUGGGCCCCUCAGACAUGCCUGCUCUGUCUGGCCCACUCCUUCCAGGGUCCUCAGAGCACCCUGCCCUGUCAGGGGUCCCUGUGCAGGUCCCCACUCCCUGUCUGGCACUACCCAUGAGGAAGGCAGGUGAGCAUAGGAAAGUCAGCCAGGCAGGGGACAGAGGCCCCCAGGAUGGUCAGGGAGCACAUGGACAGAAUCUGAGCAACAACUCAGCCAACAGACAUGGAGAGGUGUGUGAUCUCCCUGAAGCCUUCCUGGAGGACCAUGGAUCCCACAGCCAGCUGAUCUCCCAUGACCCCCAUCCUCUCACCCGGGACAUGCAGGAAACCUCCCCCUUCAGACCUGAGAAUUGCAGCUCCUGAGACACCAGGUACUGGUUGUCUGUCCUGGAAUCAGAGGCCAGGCUGGUGUCACCUCACCAGUCAUCACUCAGCUUGCCCCUUUCUCACCCCUAGUCAUCUCUGUGACCAUCCCGUUGGGAGUAAAUCCAACCUUCCCAGAGCAUCUGAGGACACUGGGAAGACCCUGGUGCCCAGUUCAGUUUCUCUGUCAAAAGAGAUAAUCCUCUGGGUUUGGAAACCUCUGAGCUUCUGUGGGGUGCUGAAAGACACCAAACCCAGGACACAGCCAGGCCAGUGCUGGGGCCAGGUGGGCUGUCCUCUGAGGACACAGGGGUCCCCAUCAGCCUUGCUAUUGAAAGUGCUCCACAGGCCAGUGUGAUCAGCAUCACCUGAGAGCUUGUUAGAUGCAGACUCGGGUCUACUCCACACCUGCUGGGUCAGAAUCUGCAUUUUAACAGAAUCUCCUGACUCUGAACAGAAGAAUGGGAGAGGCUGUCCCACCCCCACAAAAUGGGGUCUCAGCCUUCCUGGGUAGCCAUAAACCUGGGCAGCUGCUAAAGUAGCAUUUCUUUUGUCACCUAGGCAUUCACAGUCCUUACAAAUUUCCACAGGUGAUUCUGACACAGAGCAAGGGUGACAUCCUUGUGACAGGAGUUCCUGAUGUAGCCCAAGAACUCCUGCUCUGAAGGGAUAAGUCAAACGUGAGAGAAAGGGCUGCAGUGGAGACUGACUAUGCACCCUGAGCCAGAGUUGUGGGGACUGCCCAGGAGACCAAUCCCCAGGUUUCUGUUUGUCCAAACAAGGGUGUGUGUGUGUGUGCGUGUGUGUGUAUUUAUGGGAUGAAUCACAACUAAACAAGGAGAGGCCUCCACAGUUGCCAGGAAACCAAAAUGUAGAAGGAGGAGACUAGGGAGGCUGGAAUGAAAGGAGGAGAGGGAGGGACCCGAGCAGAGACAACACCCCCAGUGCAUAUGACCCGUUAGGCAUCCCUGCCCCUGGAGGAGGCUCAGCACAGAGGGAGGAACGACAGCAGAGCUGAAGCAUCUGGACAGAAGUGUUUGUGAGAGUUUCUGGAGCCCAAGCUCUUCUCACAAAGGGAGGGACAGAGCAGGCAGCAGAUACCAUGGAGCACCCAUCAGCCCCUGCCCACAGAGGGCACAUCCCCCGGCAGGGGCUUCUGCUGGCAGUCUCACUAUUAACCUUCUGGAACCCACCCACCACUGCCCAACUCACUAUUGAAUCGGUGCCGACAGAUGCUCUUGAAGGAACGGAUGUUCUUCUACUUGUCCACAAUCUGCCUGAGAAUCUUUUAGGCUAUGUCUGGCUGAAAGGGGAAGGAAUAGAUCCCGAUCAACAAAUUGUAAUAUAUGUGAUAGAAACACAAGAAAAUACCCCAUGGCUUCUAUAUAGUGGUCGAGAGACAACAUACCACAAUGGAUCUCUGCUGUUCCAGAACGUCACCCGGAGUGACACAGGAUACUACACCCUACAAGCCAUAGACCAAGAUUUUAACAAUGCAGUGGGAACUGUACAGCUCCGCGUAUACCCGGAGUUAACCAAACCCAACAUCACAUGCAACAACUCCAACCCCGUGGAGCACAAGGACCCUGUAGUGUUAACAUGUGAACCUGAGACUCAGAACACCACCUACCUGUGGUCGAUCAACAAUCAGAGCCUCCCGGACAGCGCCUGGCUGGAGCUAUCCUCGGACAACAGGACUCUCACUUUACUCCGUGUCACAAUGAAUGACACAGGACCCUAUGAGUGUGAAACCCGGAACCCAGUGAGUGCUCGUCGCAGUGACCCAUUCUACCUCAAUGUUCUCUAUGAUCCAACACAAAGAAAUUCUGCUGGCCUCUCAGGUGGGGUCAUUGGUGGCAUCAUGGUUGGAGUCCCAGCUGUGGUAGCUCUGAUAGCGGUCCUGGUGUACUGCCUGUGUAUGAGAAAGACUCGAGAGUAUUAUGGCCCUUUUUAGUGUUUUGCUUUCUCAAAGGUCAGGGCCACUCCGACAACUCCUCUAACAAGAUGGAUGUAGUUCUUCCCUGAACUUCAAUGUCCGGGGAUCAAAGAAACCAACUUCAGCCUCCCCACCCCCACCAGCCACAGAAACAGUUUAUUCAGAAGCAAAACAGAAGUACUGCAACCUGCCCUGUUCGCUGCACUGCUGGCUUACUCCAAGCUUCUCAUCCUCAUCACUGGAAGGAUCCCUUUACCCUCAAGGAAAAGAGAAAGAAGCCUCUUCCCCCCCUCAACUUCCAAAUGAGUCACCUCCAGGCUGCCCAGUCACAGCCCCUCCCUUCAGUGACAAUACAUGAAAAGGUACAGCCAGGAGUCUGUAGGAAACCCAACCUUCCUAGUCUUUGAAAUUUGGCAAAGCAGACCUUAGGAAAGAGUUGCCAGAACCUCCCACCCCUCCCCCUCUCCUGACCUAGACUUGUUUUAAACCUGCCCAUUCAGAGCACACUCACCUUCCUACCUUAGUCCUGUCUUAUCCGAGUCUAACUUGAAUUUGCCAUAACCUUGAGAGAUAUGUCCUUGUCUGCUGAAAUGCACGUGCCUGAAAAGAACAGAGGAAAAGGAAAAGGAAAAGCUUCUUCUAUCCCUCUAAAGCCCAGGUUGAACCCACCAGACACAGGAAAGCAAAUAUAUAACCAGUUCUGAACUGGGAAAUUCUACACCUUUGUCCACUGCAAGGGUGUCUACGUGUAGGGCCAGGGCCUAAGCACCUUGCUGAUUGGCUGGAAUACCACCUGACCCUUUGGCAAGCCUGUCUUCAGAGAACUCACUAGAAGCAACUAGGAAAACUAUUUGCCAAGGUCCAUAGGCAAGUCUUAAUGGAAAAUGCAAAAAAAAAGGGACACACGUUUUAAUCACUUUAAGAGCUUUAUUCAAGUAAACGCCCACAGAAGGAGGGGUUACAACUUUAGGGAGGAGGCAAGUGUUACCAGAGACAAUCUGCUGAGAAUUUGGGAAAGAAAUCACAGAGCUACCCUUCAAAUAUUAUUUAAGUGAUUGUUAAAGAAUGCACAAUUUGAGGUAGUGGGUUUUUCCCUGUUCUCUGAGACAAUCUGCCAUUUUAAUUUUUGUAACUGCUUAUUUAUGUGAGGGGGUUAUUUUUACUUAGCUUAGCUGUGUAAGCCAACCUGACUGCCUUAGGUUAAAGAAGCCACCAAAACCCCUCAAGUCCCCUUGACCAGGAGCUCCUCAAGGCUUUUAUGUUAGGGGCUCCAAACAGAAAAGAAGAAGCUGUUUUCUUCAUUCAUGGCUAGAAAUGGAUCUAACUCAGUUUCCAGGCAUCUCAGGCCAACCACCAGCCUCCAUUGUACCCCAUGUGUCUGCCUGUGCAUGUCCUGUCUGUCUGCCCCACUCCUUUUCUCAGGAAACCUCGACCCCUGCCAAGGUGCAUUUGGUCCUUGAGAAGUGGGAGCACCUUGAAGGGGACAUUAUCACUCACGCCACUGGUAUUGUUUAUAACCUAGAAAGCUGAACUGGUGCUGAUGCCCUUAGGACAGAAGGGGAAUAUUAUAACAGGAUCUUAGGCAUCUUGAACAGCCUCUGAAAUUUCUUUCAUCUCAUGAGGUCUAUGAGUCCCAAUGUGUCUUAGGAUAAAAGGAAGGCAAGAGAAGGAGGGGCAAGUGCACUUCCCACCCAGCCUCCUUCUACACAGAUGGAAUCUCUUUGGGGCUGUUGAGAGGAAGGUUUUAUUCAAUACUAAUUACUUGAUGUCAUGCUGUGUCUAAGAGACCCCUCAAAGUUAGGAGUUCUCUGUGCUCAGGUACCUCUUUCAGGGUUUUAUAUCCCUGACACACACUGUAUAGACUUCCCCUCAUCCACGUUAUUCUGUGUUAUUUAAUUUUGUUUAGCUAAGGCCACUUUGGAAUUAUUUGUAAAUGUGCUCUAUAUUUAUAAUAAAAAUUAUUUAUCAGACAUCAA